CAGACUUAAAACUGUCUGCAUGCGCGGCUCUCCCGACUCCCGAGUGGCCAAAGCGGCGACGAGGCCACGAGGGUGUGCAUCGGAAGACGAUUAGCAUUGCAAGCAAGCAGCAAGAGCAAACCCACCGUCGCGAAAAAGCAGCAGCGCCAAACAACGUCGCCGCCCAUACGGGCGGCUGCUCCCGCUGGUUUUCUGGUUCCCCAGUGGCACUUGAUGACUUGAACGAACUACACCAGGAAGCAUCGGGCGCUCCGUUCCGAGAGAGAGAGAGAGAGAGAGAGAGAGAUAUCGCGGUAUAGCAGCGCGCUGCGAGUUGUGGUUAGGUGCUCAGCCGUCACGAUCCGACGAGCCGGCAUAGUUGCAUGAAAGGCAUCAUUUUUUCAACCUGAUCGUCCCCAUCUGACAUUGAAAGCUUUGACGGAAAAGAUUUGAUUAUUCAAGAUCCAACCACUAGGGACAACACAAACCGCUCCAUGGCUCACCUGAUGACCUGAAACGCUGGAAUCAUAGGAUGGGCGGAGGACUCCUGAUACUGGAGGCGCCAGCCGCCACCGAUCGAGAUUCGAGGAGGAGGAGGAGCGGCUGCCCCCAACUUGUUUUCGUCUCUCUCCGUUGCGUCGUCGUGCGACUCGAAGAGUCAAACCCCGUGGGCUCUUGUACGACUUCCGUAGUUCCGUUGGCCAGCUUGGGUAUCAGGGUACACGUGCUACACUUUUAGAGCGUUCACAAUGCACCGACUUGACGUUCAGCCCCAACAUGUCAGCUCGGAGAUUUCUCUCCACCUGAAUAUUAAGCUCCACGUUCUUCGUCAUAGUUGUAGGUCUGAGCCCACAACAUUGUGUCCCGCACCAUCAAGAAACGGAGAGAGAGGACAGGAGGGGAGGGCUGAGCUCGUUGGGUACUUGGCCGUGCCGACGACGUAGCAACCGUGGAUGAAGGUUGCCGCCGUUCUUGUCCGCCGCCGCUGCCCGACGCCAAAUCUGGUGAGCUCGGUGGAUGCGGACGAAGAGGAGGGGCGCAAGCUAAACAGGGUGGCGGCGGUGACACGUCCCAACGGUAGCCACCUCGAUCUGUGCCGCCGUUGUUAGGGGCAGGGGCGGACCCAGACCUAGGGUAAGCUGGGCCACGGCCCGGGGCCUGGGAUGAAAGGCCCAUUGAGAAGUAUGCAUUUUCAUCAGGACUAAGUCUAUUUGGCCUCCUUUUUCACCAUGUAAACUUGUGUUGGGCUGAGAUUUCCAUGGGGCGGCCGCGGUUAGGGGAGGAGGAGAGGGAGGCGACGGAGAGGGAGAGGACCCUACCGAGAUCAGCUGCUCGGCGCCGCCACCGCUCCGCUGCGCCGCUCUACUCCGUUGUGCUGCUGUCGUCCACAGUUUCCGCCCCGACGAGGAGAAGUGGAAGCGUGGACUUUGUCUUGACCUCGUCGACGUCCAUCUUCGUCUCGCUCACCAGAGGAGUGGUGCUGGCCGGGUCACCCGGCCGCCGGCGCCGUCGUCGCUCGGGCCACCCCGCCCGCCGCCUUCGUCACCGCUCGGGCCGCCCGGUGUCGUCGCCGUUGGGACCAGGUUGCCCGGCCACCCGGCGCCGUCGCCGGGCCACCCCGCCUGCCGCCUUCGCCACUGUCGGACCGCCCGAUGUCGUCGCUGCUAGGACCGCUUCACCGGCCGCCGCUACUCAACUCGGUUUCUCCGAUCUCACUUGGGGAAAGAAUGAGUGGAGAGAGAGAGAGAGAUUGGGAAUUGGGAGAUGAAAAAUGAGAGAUGUACUGGCGGGACCCACUACAAGUAACUUGCACUAUGGAGUAUGUAGCUUACCACGUUCUUAGUCUAUGUUUUUUUUUAAACCUAAGGCGGAACUUUGUUCCACAGUUAUAUUUAGAAGAAAAGAAUUGACCUAGUUUAUAAGAAAAACCGGGGCCGAAAACCAUAUAGCUGCACGGUUAAUUAAAGGAAAACCGGUUAAAACCCACAUGUCGGUGAUAUGGGCCUGGGGGUACGCGCAGUAGAAGGAAGUCGCCUUCCCGUCUAGCCACGUGGCUGCACGGCCUGGCCUUCCCCCGCCCCCUCGGGGGGCGAUUAGGUAGCGCUAAGGUGGCCAGGGGGCCUCGGGGUGUCGCGUCACGGCCCUCGGGCCCUCGGGGUGCAGCAAGCGAGUUCAAGCGCGAUAUUCUACGGACCAGUCUAUCUCUCCGCGGCGCGGACCGUAGAUAAGAAGCGUGGUUGGUUCACCGUCGGUUAGCCCUCGAGGCGUCCCUCAACUACCAGCAGAGGCGGCUCAGGCGGUAGAUCUACCUCCUCAGAGAGCUUUGGAAGCUGGCUCACUUGGUGUAGCCCUACUAUGACACUCUACUGCUGGUUGCCCCAGCAGGUUACUGAGACAGUCGACGUUCAGUAUCGAACUCACCGUUCUGAAGGGUGACUUGGAUAGUCAUGGCAUGAAUUUUGGAAAUACAUUUUGGACUGAUCAAGAAAUCUGAAGAUGCAAUGGAUUUAACUUGGUGUUGUCCUCCUGCUUACUUUACAGAAGUACUGUAAAUCUUAUGUUUUGAAGUCUUUAGACAUAUAAUUAUAGAACUUGUAUUAAUUUGAGUUCUAAGAUUCUCAGAGUGGACAAUGAAAUGUUUUAGUUCACUCUAACUUCCAAAUCAACAUCUAGAAUGUCAAAAGGGGAUUUUUUUUUCUUUUAUGUACGUUCUUGCCAGCGAUCCGGAGCUUGCAGCAUCACAGGCAUCCUUGGGGGCCUCGUGCACGAUCGCAUCCACACAACAAAAUGACCAUCCUAGAACCGGCUUACUUGGUGAUGGUGUCCCAUCAACGCGAGCUCCAUGGAUCCCUGCAAAGGGGAAAAACACAAGCUCCAGGCCGCAGCUAUUGAUGGCGGCACGAAAACACGAACUUCAGGUCGCAGCUAUGGGCGGCGCCACGGUGCGAGGCUGCGAGCUGUGCUGCGCAAGCUCUCCACGGAGCAUGGCCACAGCUAUCCAGAGGAGUAGCAGCAGAGGACUUGGCAAUGGAGCAGCAGUGAGCAGUGGAAGAAGAAGGGUGUGGAAGAAAGGAUAGACACGUGUCGUAGGAUGAUGCAAUUUAAUCUAGGAGCCGUUGAUAUAUACAGAUGGCCAGGAUGGGGAGAAUGUCACCCCCUGCCAUUACUAUGCAAUGUUAGACGAUACGAACCCUUAUAAUCCCUCCUUUCCAAAUUAAUCAUCAUAUAACAAAAUCUAGAAUUUUUCAAAUUGAUCAUCAUAUAACCGCAUGGACACGAAUUUCAUCAAAAUACAAUUAAUACAGCAUGGGAGAAUGUAUACAUGUUAGAGUGUAA